UAAGCUUUUACUUUUCCCCUUUCUUCUCCGUUACUCCAUUAUUUUAUUUUUAUUUAUUUCUAACCUUUUCGGUUUUUCGACCAACUUUGCUCAGUAAAACUUUGGUAGUAGGGUCAUGAUAGUAACAUUUUGAGUUAAUGAUAUGUUUUGAGCUCUCCCUCAACCAAUAUAAAUAAAAAAAAAAUUGAGAAAAAGAAACUUCUAUUCUAUGUUAUUCCAUCAAACAAAUGUUGGGUUUUGCUGUUAAUUAAAAUUUUGUACUAAGUCAAAUUUAUGUUGAAUAGGUCUGUCGAAAUAAUCAAAUGGACUUGUACGUUUAUGGAAAAAAAAAAAAAAAGACUGUACGUUUGUGGUAUCUUAAUUAUUAUUUUUUUUUAAAAAAGGAAUUGUAUUUUGGGUAGUGGUAUUUGGUGGGGCUACGAUAUUUAUGGAUGCCUAGCUUUGGCUUUUUCCUGAUGGGAACAUAAAUAGCUAGGAUAAAAAAAUGUAAUACAGCUAUAAGGACGGCAAGUGGGAGUUUUGAGCGGACACGUGUUAUCUUUAGUCACGGAUUCUUCUGCGUAUACUGGUGCACCACUUAAAUUUUCUCCCUUCGGUCCAAAAAAGGCUUCUUCUUUUUUUGUUUUUGUUUUUGUAAUUCAAAAUAAAUGUUUUGUUUUAAUUUUAAGAAUAAAUUAAUUGUUUGUUUGUAUUAUUUUUGGAGUAAAUAGUGUUGGAAUAUGUAUUAAGAGUGUUUAUGUGAGAUAGUAAAUAUGAUCAAUUUUAUUGCUAAUUAAUGAUAAAAGAUAAUAUUUAUUUUUUUAAAAUGUGAAUUAGCUAAAAAGAAUUAUUUUAACUUAAAACUGACUCGGAAAGGACAUAAACUUGGAAUAAUUCUAAGGCAUAUUAUCUUCAAUGAUUUGAAUAGUAUUAAUAAUAACAUAUUAAUAUGGCUAUAAGUUUUAAUUUUAGAUUCUUAUGAACCCUUCCCUGCCCAUGUUAAUUACAUAUAAUGUAUGAAAAAUGCUAUAGAAUAUUAUUUAAUAAAUCAACUAAUAAGCUUCUUAUGUAGCUGAUAAGUCCAGGGGCAUGGCUUUGUGAUUUGUCCUUGGAGCGAUACGAAGUUAGAGAGAAGAAAGUAACGAAGAAGGUGUCAUUUUUUAUUUGGCUAUCAAAAUUAAUAAUUUCCAUUUCUAUUUCAAUUUUAGAACAUUUCUUGGUAAUUUUGCAGAGACCAAGAGGGCUAAAAGCUAUGGGAAACAUGGAAUCUGAGUCGGAGU
rnacentral:lncRNA from 1 species